GCCGUGGACGCGGUCGUGGGAGAGACGCAGGGGCAGUACCAGUUGAGCCACCUGUUGCUCCUGUUCAGGAUCAGCCCUCAGUUGUUGAGACUCCAGCAGCACCUGCUCAGGCACCAGCUGUGCCUAUUGUGAUUCCGGGUCUUCAGGAGGCCCGAGCCCAGAUUUUAUUGGUUUGCACUAGCCUGGCUCAGGCAGUAUCAGCUUCUACUACAGGAGCUACAUCUCAGACAGGGGCUGGAUGAAGNNNNNNNNNNNNNNNNNNNNNNNNNNNNNNNNNNNNNNNNNGCUGAGACUCCAGCAGCACCUGCUCAGGCACCAGCUGUGCCUAUUGUGAUUCCGGGUCUUCAGGAGGCCCUAGCCCAGAUUCUAUCGGUUUGCACUGGCCUAGCUCAGACGGUAUCAACUUCUACUGCAGCAGCCACAUAUCAUAUAUGGGGUGGACAUCAAACCCAUGCAGCUCACACUCCAGAGCAGGGUGUUCACGGCUUGCAGACCCCAGAGGCAGCCCUUAUUGCCCUAGUUGCUCCAGCAGCACCAGUUGCCCUAGUUGUGCCAGUUCCGCAUGUUGCUCCAGUUCAGCCGGUUGCUACGGUUCAUGAGGUUAUGGUUCCAGCUAUUUCUGACGAUGAGCAGCGUUUUCUUGAGAGGUUCAGCAGGUUGCUACCUCCUACUUUCAGUGGUUCUCAGGGCGAGGAUGUCCAGGGAUUUCUGGACAAGUGUAGACGUAUGCUUCGGACCGCAGGGAUCUUCGAGUCCAUUGUGUUUCUUUUACUACAUUUUAGUUCUCGGGUGCAGCUUUCAAUUAGUGGGAGGAGUAUGAGCGGCGUAGGCCGGUGGGUGCAGCGCCCUUAUCAUGGCAGGAGUUCUCC
rnacentral:lncRNA from 1 species